rnacentral:lncRNA from 1 species
CGAAACCGCACGGGAUUGAUUCCCCACGUGCCGGCUCCUGCUGCACCCCGAGAUGUGGUAACGAGGAGCCGAGAGCGGCAGCGGGACCCCGCGGGUGCCCCCUCCUCAGCGCGGGGCCAGCGGGGUCACGGCGGCGGUGCUGACCCUUACGGACCCCCCUCCCGUAACCUACAGACGCGGAGGGAAUUUCCAUGCGAUUCUCAUAUGACCUCCUGCUCACUGUGCUCCGGCUGUAAUGGAUGGGCGUUUGUGGUCUGGUACCAGGAAGGGUUCAUCCAACUGUGAAAUUUCAGAAAUCCUACACCAAAGUAUUUUAAACUGGCAAAUACAGCCAAGGAAGCACACCGUGGCUUUCGUUUUGAGAUCUUGUGCACCCACGGUGGUGCAGAACAUCCUCCAGCAUACGGUUCCCUGCUUGUUCUCCUGGAGAAGCUCACGCAACCUCAGUCCCAGAGGCAGCACCUAAAGUUGACAUAAAAGCUGGAAUACACUGACAAACAUAGAACGCACCAUGUUCAGUUGUAACGGAACAGCUCUAUCCGUGCUUUCUUUGCCUCAGUACCCCUUUCCAGCUCACCUUCUCUUGUUGUGAAGACCAGAUGAGCUCCUUGAGAACCAAGACAGAGCCAGGAACAGGAUAUUGACACCCGGAGAGCAACUGAAACCUUAAUGAGAAAACCUAUUGUGUUGUAUACGGCCUGCCUUCCUGCAAGGUGCUGCACACGGGACCUUCUUGUCUUCUCGUUGUGUGCCCUCAUGGACGUACCUUCAUCAUCAUUCGUUAUAGAGAAGACGUAAGUUUGAAAGGGUUUACCACCACAGUUUCGAGUUAAUCUUCCUCUUUUGAAUGGAACAAUGGGAUUAGAAACCCAGAAAUAAGGAAAUUUAUGGAAGGGCUUGAAGCUCCUGGAAACUUCCAGCUCGGUAAGUGUUCCCAAACAGCUGGGUUUGUUCUAACACGCAGACACACCAACACACCCUGAGACGGCUGGUUGUGAACUUUCUCUAGGUUGUGUUUCCGUUCCUUGCUGCCCCUUCCUGCAGCGAUAUUGUUGGGUGUUUUCUUUGUUGCCCUCAGUCGGUAUCAGCAAAACUCCAGUGACUGUAACUGAUAUUUGAAAAUUCUCCCUGUGUCAUGCGAAGACUUACCGCGCUGAAAUCAAUAAGACUGUUUAAAAUUCAAAGACCUGCAAAUCGUUCUGUUUGUCCUUUGAUAGGGCCUGGGCUGAUUAAAAUGCGACCAAGAAAGCUUAAUUGCUGCACUAAUUAAGAAGUCUUUAAUUUCUUUCCUGGAAUAUUGUUUGAAGCUGGGUUUCUGCUCUGCACAUAGCACUGUUCAGGGCAGGGAUUCGCUCUGCUUCUCUGUCUCUUUUUUUCUUUUGACAAUUUCAGUAUAAUAAAAUGUAUGUUAAAGCAGUAAGAUGUAUUGACAAUGAUUGUAAUUUAUUACUCAAAAAAAAAAAAAAAAGAAGACUGAUACAGGGUUCACUAUUGUAUUAAAUUACAAUUUUGAGGGCAGCUGUAAAGGGUGAAAUGAAAUUAGAAAAUGCAUUGUAGUUGUUGCGUUUCAAGGAAUCUGAGUACCUGACUGACAGGAGGUCGGGCAGCACACCAGUACCUCCCGUUUCUUCUCUUAGUAUUGAUAAUUAAAGAUUUUAAUUCAUUCAGGGAAAAAGGAAAAAAAAGAAAAAGAAAAGAGAGAUACAUGUGUGCUGAGUGAAUGUGAAGGAAUGGACGGGGGGAUGCGCAGCGGACAGGCACAUGGUGGGGAUGAAUUGUGCAUCAUCACAUUAACUUCGUGUACAAUAUUUUUCCCUGCAUUUCUUUUGACUUCAUUCCUCCAAAAAAAAAAAAAAGCAUUUCUCUCUUGUGUCUUGUCUUAUGCUUUUCGGUGACUUGUUUUGUUCCCCAGUUUCCAAAG